rnacentral:lncRNA from 1 species
GUCACACUGCUUUGCUUUAUCUUGGCCAGGUCGCAGUUGUAAAUGAGAACUUCUUCUCAACUAGCUUACCUGGUUAAAUAAAGGUGAAAUAAAAAAAAUAAAAAAUAAAAAUAAAUUUCCAACUUUAGCCCUUUUUACUCCACUGUUCUUCACCAUCGUCCCCUCAUUGACACCACUGUACUCACGCCAAGAGAAUCACAUGAUACUUCCGCUUCCGAAGUAGCACCCAUAUUGUUCUCAUUCCAGCCCAGCUGUUGCUUCACCAACAUUUUCUCCAUUUCAUCCGCACUACUCGCCGCCAUCUCCCUCCCUGAAUCAAGUUGUAAAACCUCAAUGAAGCCCUGCAUGUCCUCCCCUAUGCAGUGCCUUAGACCGCUGCGUCAUCCGGGAGACCCUUGCUAGAUGGUUUUUCAUCUUUCUACAGAAUUCCAUGCUCAUGACGUAGAUGCUGUCAUUCAUGGCAGGUGUGCCCUUUUCCCAUCUCUACAGUCACGUGAGGACAGCUGGCACUCGUGGCAGGUGUGCCGACUUAUAACUCUAUGGCAAGGUAUUUAUACGGGCAGGUUCGAGUGCGCCUCCUUUCAAUCCGCGUCCUUCACCCAGACAGAGCUGAGUACUUGAGCAUGACAAACAACUCUCACAAGCAACAACCAGUAUGCGUCAUUGAAAUAUAAACCACACUCCAACCAAGUCUCAUGUCAACAACUGUCAAUCAUGCCCUGCCAUAUAUCAUCUCCAUUACCAGAAUCUAUAAAGACUCUUAAACUGACCUGCGUCUCUGCCUCAACGUGCUCCUUAAGACUGGAGUCCCACACUGAAUGGGCAUCGCUAUAACGCUCACCUAAACCUAUCAGUUAGUCUUGUAACUGAAGAAUAUUGUGACAACUAGGAAUCCAAAGUUUUGGUCAGUGUUUCCCUGGACACCCUUAUUAGGUGAGAACAUGCAGGAAAUGUAUAAAUCGUCUUAAAUGUAAUCGAAAAUGUUAUCUACGUACUGUAUAUCUACGUACUGUACUGUAUAUCCUAUUCAACAAAACUGUAUGAAUACGGCUUGAAAUGACAUAUAUUUUUUCUAAGUAUAAUAAAAUCAAUUUAUAGAAUGACUAACUAAUUGCUGUGAACAUCUCACAGAGCUCUAGCUUGGCUUCCUGAACCCGUUAGGAAUUCACCUUUCAUCUCAUAUUAAUAUUGUCCAUCUAUGAGAAAGUGUUUUUCUGUUUAUAAUCUAUUCAUUAUUUAAGAUCACUGGCUAUAAAUCUAUCUCUGAAUGUGCCAUAGCGACGAAACCACUAUGUCCUGCUGGGUUACGAUGUAAGGAUUUCAGGUAUGUGUGUUAGUGGCUGUGACGAAGCUAGGACAGUCUUUGCCCAUCUUCCGAAAACAUCUUAAACCCUUCCUCUUGAAACAGUAUCUUAAAUAAUCCCCCCGGGAACCAGUGUGUUAUAAUGACCAGGGCCUUCAUAGUGUUAAAGGAACAUUUUUGGGGGGAUAUGUACCUUUCAAAAUACAUAAAUCAUCC